rnacentral:lncRNA from 1 species
GCGUGGCGGCCAUCCACCCCCCUAGCGCCCUACUAAUACACCCAGGGCGGCCCCAAACCCUAAGCUUCCCCGUUCCCCUUCCUUCCUCGCGCCCCCGUCUGCUUUUCCUCGUCGACGUCGCCGUGCCCGUGGACACCCAAAGACACCGCCCCGAACCCCCGCCGUCGUGCCCAGGAGCUACGCCGAGCUCCUCUACGUCGUCUGCGCUCUCUACUUGGAGCUCGGAUCCACCGCCUCGGCCGGAUCGAGUUCAUUUUCUUCCCUCGACCGUUGCCGCCUCUACGUCAACGCCGGCUGCUCUGCUGCUACUAAGCCACCGCCGGGCCCCCGUGUGCCUCCCCAGUGAGCUUCCGCUCCUUCUCCUCCUCCCCACGCUUCGGUUCCACCCCUCUAGCUAGCUAGCCGCCAUGAUCGUAGAUCAUCUCCGCCACGGCGCUCGUCGUCGUUGUUUCGGUCGACGUCGAGUUCGCCUGAGCCCUCGGUCGUGCUCAUCGGCGCCGUAGUAGGCCGUAGCACCAGCGCGUGCAGUCCCUGCCGUGCCUCGCCUCGUCGUAGCCGCCCGCGCCUGCUCGCGCUGGCCACGCCCCACGUGCCCCGCGACCCUUGUAGCCGUCACCACGCGCCGCCUGCGGCCGUCCCACACCCCAGCGCACGCCCUGCGCCUGCCUCCGCUCCCCGCUGCCGUUGCCCUGCUGUUUCACCGCCGCCCCUGCACUUGCUGUUGCUGCUGCUGCUGCGUUGCUACUGUGUGCGGCCACUGCUGCUGCUGCCUGCACGACCCCCACGCGAACCCAGCCGCACACGCGCGCCUGCACGCUUGCCCGCAGCCGCAGGCUGCUGCUCCCGGCCUCGCGCCCGGUUGCCGCUGCUCACUAGUGCUGCUUUGUACUGCUAGGUACUGUAGGUACUAGCUAGCUUUUCUAAUUUCACACCAAGUAACCCACUAGACAGCCCCUAAACAUCAGUUAAAUAACUGUUAACCGGAGUAAGAAUAAUAUUUGUAGGUAGUAUAAUUGUCAAAGCUCAAAUGUUUCCAUUGGACCAAAUCAAUUUGAUGCAUGGAUUAAUUCCCAUAAAAAUCACAAAAUGCUAUCUUUUCUAAACAGAGAACAGAAUUAACCCCUACCACUGUGUGUGCGUGUGUUGUGUAUGUAUGUGUGUUGUGUGUACAGCGUGCGUGUGUGGUGUGCGUGUGUGGCCGGCUGGACUCUGUCCACUAAUGGCCGGCCCUUGUUAAUUAGGCUAUGUUUAGCUUAGGAUUAGUUUAGUGCUAACUAGCCCUUUUAGCAAAUGACAAGUGGGUCCCAUCUAAAUAGAUUAGACAAAUAUUUUGGAAAUUAUUAAAUCAGUGUCAUAUGGGCCACCACCUCUCCUUUUGACUAGUCACAUUGAUUUGGUCAAUUCGGAUUUAAAUUAAACACAAAAUUCUAGAAUAUUGAUAAAACUUUGGAAAAUUAUAGAAAAUUAACCGUAACUCCGAUGGAAAAACUUUAUACAUGAAAGUUGCUUAGAACGAUGAGACGAAUCCGGAUACGCGGCCCGUUCGUCCGCCACGCAUCCCUAGCAUAGUGGACACGCAACUUCCCCCUCCGGCUCCUCUGCCCGAAAACGCGAAACACCGGGGAUAAUUUCCCGGAUGUUCCCCCCUUCACCGGUACCACCUCGUACCGCGUUAGGGCACACGUCGCAUCACGCUUUGUCAUGUCAUGCAUCGUCAUGCAUUUGUUUGCAUUAUAUUUAUUGUUUCUUCCCCCUCUUCUCUCGCUAGACACCGAGACCGACGCCGCUGCUACCCAGUACAACUACGGUGUUGACGACCACUCUCUCUUGCCAGAGCAACCAGGCAAGCCCUCCCCUUUGAUCACCAGAUAUCGCCUACUCUUCUCUCUACUGCUUGCAUUAGAGUAGUGUAGCAUGUUACUGCUUUCCGUUAAUCCUAUUCCGAUGCAUAGCCUGUCAUUGUUGCUCCAGUUGUUGAUACCUUACCUGCAAUCCUAAAUGUUUAGUAUAGGAUGCUAGUUUACCAUCGGUGGCCCUACAUUCUUGUCUGUCUGCCAUGCUAUACUAUCGUGCCGUGAUCACUUGGGAGGUGGUCACAGGUAUAUGUUUAUACAUAAUAUAUGAUACUUGUGGUGAUGAAAGCCGGGUCGACUCGUAGGAGUACCCGCGAGUGAUUCCGAUGUUGGGGGCUGAAGGGGCAGGUGGCUCCAUCCCGGUAGAGGUGGGCCUGAGUUCUCGAAGGCCCCUGACUGUUACUUUGUGGCGGAGCGACAGGGCAGGUUGAGACCACCUAGGAGAGAGGUGGGCCUGGCCCUGGUCGGCGUCCAUGGUUAUUUCAGAAUAACACGCUUAAUGAGAUCUUGGUAUUUGAUCUGAGUCUGGCUACUGGCCUAUAUGCACUAACCAUCUACGCGGGGACAGUUAUGGGCACUCGACGUCAUGGUAUCAGCCGAAGCCUUCGUGAUGUCAGCGACUGAGUGGCGCGCGCCGGAUUGGACUGGAACGCCUGAUAGGCUAGGUCUGCUUCCGGCCGCGUUCGCAACGUGCAGGUGUGCAAAGGGCGAUGGGCCCAGACCCCUGCGCCAUAGGAUUUAGACCGGCGUGCUGACCUCUCUGUUGUGCCUAGGUAGGGCUGCGACGUGUUGAUCUUCCGAGGCCGGGCAUGACCCAGGAAAGUGUGUCCGGCCAAAUGGGAUCGAGCGUGUUGGGUUAUGUGGUGCACCCAUGCAGGGAAGUUAAUCUAUUCGAAUAGCCGUGAUCUUCGGUAACAGGACGACUUGGAGUUGUACCUUGACCUUAUGACAACUAGAACCGGAUACUUAAUAAAACACACCCUUCCAAGUGCCAGAUACAACCGGUGAUCGCUCUCUUAUAGGGCGACGAGGGGAGGAUCAUCGGUUAGGAUUAUGCUAUGCAAUGCUACUUGGUGAACUUACCAUCUACUCUCUUCUCCUGCUGCAAGAUGGAGGUUACCAGAAGCGUAGUCUUCGAAAUGACUAGCUAUCCCCCUCUUAUUCCGGCAUUCUGUAGUUCAGUCCACAUAUGAUAGCCUUAUUCCAGUUGAUACCAAUGCAUACAUAUGUAGUGUAGCUCCUUGCUUGAGAGUACUUUGGAUGAGUACUCACGGUUGCUUUCUCCCUCUUUUCCCCUUUCCCUUCUACCCGAUUGCUGCGACCAGACGUUGGAGUCCAGGAGCCAGACGC